rnacentral:rRNA from 1 species
CGGAUGAACGGUUUAACAAAUGAAUAAAAUUCCUUUACCUUACUUAUCAAAAUUCUAACUUAAGUUAAAAUACUUAAACGCCUGAGAGGGACGAUAAGACCCUAAAAUUUUCAACGUAUUUUAACUUAAGUUAGAAUUACAUAAAUUAAGUUCACUAUCAUUUUGACUGGGGUAGUCUUUUUAUUUAAAUUAAAUUAAUUAAAACGACCUAGCGGACCAAAGAUCCCUAAAAUAAGGAUACACGGGACUAAUUACUUUAGGGAUAACAGCGUAAUACUUGUGGAGAGCCCAUAUCUAUGCAAGUGAUUGCGACCUCGAUGUUGAAUUAAAAAAUCUAUUAGGAGCAAACCCCUAUUAAGAGGGUUUGUUCAACCCUUAAAAUUUUACAUGAUUU